rnacentral:lncRNA from 1 species
GGUGGUGGAACUGUGUUAGCAGAAACAACAACAUCAUGCUUAGUGGCCAUAUCAGAGUUUUGUGUUGCAUAGUAGCAAGUUUCUGAGGGACCUUCCCAUUGGCAGCAUUAAGUUUAGAGAAAUUUUGGAUGUCAUGCCCUAAGGCCUUGCAGUGAGAACAAAACAGAGGGUAUUUCUCAUAUUGCACCCCUAUAGUCAAGGCAUGACCAUCCCUUUCCACAAUUAUGGAUUCAAACAGCUUCUCAGACAUGUUGACAUCCACUAAGAUUCUAGCAAAGAGGCCAAAACGCCUGGUUUGGGUUGCCUCAUCAAUGAUGAGAGGAGUUCCCAAACUAGAAGCAAUUUCAAACAAAGUUUGCUUUCCCCAAUACUCUUGUGGGAGUUGCAUUAAUCUGACCCAAACUUGUGCAUGUGUUUGUGCCUAUGCCCUAGGUGCGAAAUCCUUUGUCCAACAAAAGAAUCUUAGAAACCCAGGUUUCAAAUUCAGAGCACCAAUUGCCCAAACCUGUUUCAUAUCUUCAAUUGAACUAAAAUGGAAUUCGAAAAAACCCUUACCAAGAGAAAUCAAGCUCCAAUUCUACAGAUUAGGCCAGAGAUUGUGGAGUUUGGCCUUUAGAGCUUGUGUAGUUAUCGGUGAAUCUCCUUUGUGGAGAGUCAAACGGCCAUGGAGGUUGCAUUGGCACGAAACUAAUCCUGCUUCAUACGCGGCCUGUGAGAUCUUAACACGCGCUGAAUCGCCCAUAAUCACCUUCGGAGGAAGAUUUGCCAUAAAAUUGUUAUCGGACGAAGCACCAGAGGAAGAGUUGGAGAGUGCCUGAGCAAAGGACUUCCCAGAUUCCGGCGAUUGUUGUUUCUUUGUCAGAGGAGCAUCCAAAGAAGCCAUGGGCACACCAUGAUUCAAGGAGAACAGAGAAAUAGGAGGUUCACCGUAGAGGAACCAACGAAGGUGAGAACAGUCCAAAGAGGUGGAGAAGAGGAGAAUCUGUGUAGAUCUGAGAAAUCACCGUGAAGGUGAAGAAAACGCCGUGAAAUAGACGUAGAAAGGUGGGAGAAACAGCGUCGGAGCUACGCUGGUGGUGGUUUAGGUCGCCGGAAAAAAAAAACGGUUACGGUGCACUCUCUCAGCGAGAGAGAAAAUUAGAAAAAUCAUUUUCGUUUAUCAAAGGUGCUUGAGUUAGAGAAUAAUUCUUAAUUGAACAUGUUUGUAAGUUAUUUCUAUAAACUAUAACUUAACUUAUUAAUUAGCAUUACAACAUAGAGUUUCUACGCGAGUUUUUUUUUCUUUCUUUUCUGCCCCUAUCACCAAAAAAUUGAUAUGUUUGCUCCUAGUUCAAUGCCUUUGUUCUUCAUUUAACUUGGCAAACAUAACCAUUUUUUUUCAACUUCAAGCUUUUUCUGCAUCUCCUGUGUGUUUUACGAAUGAAAUGGAGAACAUACCUUUUUUUAAUAUCUUCUUUUGUGUUCUAUAUUUCAAAUGGUGAACAGUCUUUUUUUUAUUUUUUUUUAUUUAUAUUUCAAAUGACAACAUGCCUUAAGUUUGUAUUUUUCGUCUUUUUUGUUUUAAUGAAAGAAAAAGGUUGUUUUUUAAUUAAAAAAUUCUAACUAAAAAAAGAAAAAAGCCAAGUAAAAAAAUUAAUAAGAAUUAAUGUUCGCCAUUUUGAGUGGCAAACAGCUAAUAAAUUUGAAAAAAAAAAUGUGUUCACCAUUAUGAAUAGCAAACAUCAAAAUAGAAAUAAAAAAAAAAGAAAUAAGCAUGUUGGUUAAUUCACAACAAGAACAUGCAGUUGAAAAAUUGUGUAUGUUCGCCAAAUGAAAUGGAGAACAAGGGCAAUUGCAUCAAUACUUUUGAAUAGAGGACAGACAUAUCAUUUUUUUGUGAGAGGACAAGGAAAUAAAAAAUUUCUUUUAACGCAUCCCUCAAUGAUUUUACUUGUUUAACUAAUAUCUUAAUUCCUUGUCAGAAUUAUAUCGUGUUCUGAUUCGAUCAAGAAUAGAUAAUAGUAAUAUAAUAGAGCACCCAUACCCAUAUCUCUAAUGAGUCUAUCUUAGCCAACGAAUUAAGACAUAAUUUAAGAGAAAGAAAACACGAGAUAAUCACGUUUCUUAAAUUAUUAUUUCAUCUUCACUUUUUCCAUUUAUACAUAGUGGAUUGUGAAUCAUAACCAACACAUUCUGGAGCUAGCUAGCUAGUUUCAAAAUUGUUAACAUGGAGUUCCUAAUUACACUCAUUACCACUUUUUUACUCUUGUUAAUGCCUGCAAUCACUUCCUCCCAAUAUUUAGGAAACAACCUACUCACUAAUCGAAAGAUUUUCCAAAAACAAGAAACCUUAACAUCUUACGCUGUCAUAUUUGAUGCUGGUAGCACUGGUACUCGUGUCCAUGUUUACCAUUUUGACCAGAACUUAGAUCUUCUUCACAUUGGCAAUGAUAUUGAGUUUGUUGACAAGGUGAGAUUUUAAAAAAUUACAUUAAUUAAUUAAUAUCUCUUAGUAGUACAUUUUUUGACAAGUCUUCAUUAAUUAAUUGUUGUGAUGUAGAUCAAACCAGGUUUGAGUGCAUAUGCGGAUAAUCCUGAACAAGCAGCAAAAUCUCUCCUUCCACUUUUGGAGGAAGCAGAAGAUGUGAUUCCUGAGGAUAUGCACCCCAAAACACCCCUUAGGCUUGGGGUGAGUUUUCUAGUCUCUCAUCCAUUUUACUAUUUCUCACCUGUUAUGUUUUUUUGAGUGAAUAUCAAAAAUGAAUUUUCGACAUCGGAAUCCUCUUUAUUUAUCUCAAUUACAAUAUCUCAACCAUCAAAAUAAAUCUUCUUAUUUAUUUGUAAGUGAAUCUAGUUUUCUCUCAUGUUUGAUGAUUGAGACGUUGCAGUAUAAAAAAAACAUGGACUUUCCUUUGGUUGUUCCUCAUCUUCAUAAAAUCUUUGUGCGUAUAAAAUAUUCUUAAUUACGGUAUAGUGUAAGAUCUUUCUUCUCAAUGACACCUCAUGGAUAUGGGUUGUGGUAACUCAACCCUAUGUGGCGGCUAGUGAGUCUCAUCUAGACUAUCCAAUUAAGACCAAACUUUGAGUUUGAUAUUAUAAAUAAAAUAAAAAGUCAAAAUCGAUAUUAAAAUCUAAAUUGUCUGAUCUUCAUCCAAAGGUUUAUAUAUGUUUACAAUCACAAUGUAGACAAUCCAAAUCUAUCAAUUAUAUUUUGAUUUUCAUCGUUGUAUAGGUUGCGAGAUAUGACUUCUUUUAAAUAGGGAUUAGAACAUUUAAGAAUUUUUAAGACUUUGAAAAUAUAAAUUUUAUGUUUCAAAAUUUACAAUGAGAACAAUUGAAUAAUAUUGUUAUAAUUUAUCUUUUAAAAUUUAAAAUUGAAAAAAUAUAAUAAAGAAAGUUAAAAUAAUUGUUGAGUUAAAGUGUCAGUAGUUAAGUUCUAAAUUAACUAUGAACGAAUAUAUUAUUAGAGAUAUAAAAGAUGUGACAUAUUCUUAAUUUUUUAAAGUUUUCGUAGACCAGAGAUGAAAGGUUUCUCCCUUUUGUAAAGAUUAAUAUUAUAAACAAUGAAUGAAAAGAGUUAGUUUGAAAAUAUAAGAUCGAUAGGUGGAUCUUGUAAAAAGAGAAAAUCAAAUAGUGAAAAUAGAAAGUUAGAAGAGAAAUGAUAUUUGUACAAUUAUUUGUGACAAAUUUUUGACAAUUUUCUCUCUCAUACUCACGUUAUUCUCUUAUUCUCUUUCUUCCUUUUUCUCUCUCCGUUAUUUUUGACCAAUAAAAAUAGAAAAAAAAGAAAUUGUCACAAAAGUUGUAUCAAAUAAUUGUUCAAAUAUCACAAGUUAAAAACACACACUUUAACAAAUAAUAUGAGGAAAAUUCCACCUGACUACUUUUUUUAGUAUUUCCUUUCCCGCAUUAAUUUGCAUUCAAGGCUGAUAUUUGUACGGUGUCUGUCUAUACCGGUGGUUACCUUUUGGAAUUCAAACUCUAGUUAUUAACAUACUAACACACUAACAAACUAACAUUUCACUAUAAAAAAUGUAGAGACCCUAGCUAUACUAAUAACAUAUUUAAGUCCCUUUAGAAAAAAACAUAUUUAAGCCCAACGCACAUAAAUGUUCAAUUGGUUAAACAUGUAAACGACAGCUUUAGUACAUUAACAUCUUUUCCAAAUGUAUAUGAUAAUAAUGCAGGCAACCGCAGGUUUGAGGCUUUUGAAUGGGGAUGCUGCCGAAAAGAUAUUGCAAGCGGUAACCAUAAUUAAGCAUUAUUUGCUAUCUAAUUGUUCAAGAUUUUAGCAACUAUACCUUAAUUGGGUUUCAAAUGCCUAAAGCUUUUGUUUUCUAGACAAGGAAUAUGUUCAGUAACAGAAGUACCCUCAACGUUCAAAGUGAUGCAGUUUCUAUUAUAGAUGGAACCCAAGAAGGUUCUUAUAUGUGGGUACGUAUGAUUUAUAAAAGGUUUAAUGAUGUGUUUCAUCCUUGCAAUUAGGUGUCAUUUAAAAAUUAGUCGCUGUAAUCGCUAAUCCUGACAAUUUACCCUUGCAUUGUUUAAUCAUUUAAAAUUUCGUCCUUUGACCAACUUAAUCACUACCAAGUCAUCAAAUUAGCAAAAUGGCAUAGGAAUGGACAAAAAUACCCUCGACUUUAUUAUGAGAAGAAGAUGAAGAUAGGGGUAAAAAUGUCAUUUCACGAAUGGAUGACGAGGGUAUUUUUGUCCAUUCCCAUGUCAUUUUGCUAAUUUGAUGUCGUGACAGUGAUUAAGUUGGUCAAAUGACGAAAUUUUAAAUGAUUAAACAAUGUAAGAGUAAAUUGUCAGGAUUAGCGAUUACAGGGACUAAUUUUUAAAUGACGCCUAAUUGCAAGGACGAAACACAUCAUUAAGCCUUUAUAAAAUUACAUUUUCUUUAUGGAUUUUGUUUUUUGGCAGAAUAUAUUGUUAAUAAGUGUUUGUACUAUAUAUUUUCAUUAUAAUUGUGUGGUAUUUUGUGCCCUGGAUUUAAAUUGGCAACCUUGUCAUCUUUAUAGGUGACAGUUAACUACAUAUUGGGGAAUUUGGGAAAAAGCUUCACAAAAACAGUGGGAGUAAUUGACCUUGGAGGUGGUUCAGUUCAAAUGACAUAUGCUGUGUCAAAGAAAACAGCUAAAAAUGCUCCAAAAGUUGCAGAUGGAGAGGAUCCAUAUAUAAAGAAGCUUGUACUCAAGGGAAAGCAAUAUGACCUCUAUGUUCAUAGGUUUUCUUCUAAUUCUUUUUUCUUUUUUAUUGAAGAGUUUUUUUUUUUUUUUUUUUUGUAAUUCUUGAUGUAUAUAUGAAUGUACAAUGAGUAAUUAAUUUAUUAUAUUAAGGUCUUAAUUUCUUUCUUGUAGUUACUUGCGCUUUGGCAAAGAAGCAACUCGAGCACAGGUUUUGAAUGCAACUAAUGGAUCUGCUAACCCUUGCAUUUUACCUGGAUUUAAUGGUAAUUAAGCGUGUGAAAAGCUUCAAAUUUCAAGUACAUUUUUAUAUAUACUGCUAUUUUAUUUUGAUGACCAUAAAGAAUACAAAUAACAAAGGAAUUACUUUUUUUUUCUCUUCAAAGGGACCUUUACAUAUUCAGGAGUGGAGUACAAGGCUUUUUCCCCUUCUUCUGGCUCAAACUUUAAUGAAUGCAAAGAGAUAAUUCUUAAGGUUCUUAAAGUGAAUGAUCCAUGUCCCUAUUCGAGUUGCACUUUCAGUGGAAUAUGGAAUGGUGGAGGAGGGAGUGGACAAAAGAAACUUUUUGUUACUUCAGCUUUCGCUUACCUAACUGAAGAUGUAAAAUACUAUUGCUUUACAUGAUAGUGCGGUGAUUAUGUUGUUUUAAUGUUAUUCUUCAUGCAUUUCUAAUGGAAUUUUUUUAUUUUUUUAGGUUGGUAUGGUUGAGCCAAAUAAACCUAAUUCCAUACUUCAUCCAAUAGAUUUCGAAAUUGAAGCUAAACGAGCUUGUGCAUUAAACUUUGAGGAUGUCAAAUCCACUUAUCCACGACUUACAGAAGCAAAACGUCCAUAUGUAUGUAUGGAUCUCUUAUACCAGCAUGUGUUGCUCGUUCAUGGAUUUGGUAGGUUUCUUGCACUAUGAAAUAAAUACUAUUUAAAAAAAAAAAAUUCUAUCAUAAGUACAACUCAAAUGGUAAAAAAUACAAAACUUUUGAUAUAUUAAGGCGCGAGUUCAAACCCGCACUAGUACUAUAUCUACACUUAGUAUGUCUCGGUGUUGCUGUCAGGCUAUUUGAAACCAAAAAAGCAAUUUUACAUGGAUCAUACCUUUAUCUAAGAAAUUGUUGGUCAAAUGUUUCGAUUAUAAUGAUUGUCUUGUAUUUGUUUGCAGGCUUAAGUCCACGAAAAGAGAUUACAGUAGGUGAAGGAAUUCAAUAUCAGAAUUCUGUUGUGGAAGCUGCAUGGCCUCUAGGUACUGCUGUGGAAGCUAUAUCAACGUUACCUAAGUUUAAGCGAUUAAUGUAUUUUAUUUAAGCUUUUAGAGAUGACAAGAUAUUUCAGUAACAGCUAACUUUAUCAAAAAUUAAAUAAAACUGGCGCAUUUUGUCUUUCAUUUCUUACAUCACAUACUUAUAUUGAUCUUGUGCAUUUGGAUCUCCAUGUUCUUAUGUUGAGUUCGUUUAUUCUUAAAAACGGUUAAUUAUGAGAAAAUGAAAAUGAAAGUAUGUUUGUUUUUGUCACUGAAAAAAUCUAUUAGCUAAUGUGAUAAAUUCAGUAGAUAAUUUUUAACUGAUUUUUGGCAAAAAGCUGAGCUAGAAAUUAAAAAAAAGAUGUCUUUUAAAGUUUGAUUUCCCAUUUACGUAUAUAACCUUAGCCCAAACAGUUAGAUGCUUUGGAUAGUUCCAUUAGUAAUGAGAGUGAAUUGAAUUAUUAUUGGUAAAGCAUGUUGACGCAUAACGGAUGCAAGAAUUAGCAAGAGUUAAACCUAAGAGCUAAACAAACAAGUUGCAAGCAACAAAUAUGUCAAAUAAGGGUUUUCGGAAUCCACCAUAAUUGAGAAAAUUCUCGAUAAUUUUAUUGAAUAUGAAAAAUUGUCUCCCAAGCCACGAAAGUUUAGUUUAAAUACUAGAGAAAUAACAAAACAUAAUGGGCCGAAAAUAACAAACUAAAAUAAAACCGAAAAAUAAUAAAUUUGCUGAAAUAAUACAAAUGUGGUUUUGGGCCUUCGGAUGAUUUUGAACGCCUAAAUUCACCCAUACGUGAACUCCGGGGCUUUCCAAAAAGGUAUAAUCAUCAAUCCGACAUCGGAUGCUAAAUCUACACUAUUCUCAUUGAACCUUUUUUGCACGUCACUUCAUCUUCGAUACGUGCAGCCAAUUUGCUUACAUCACAUAUAAGAGUUCCAAUUGCAAAAGUUCAAACUAAUUUGAUUUUACCCUCACCUUGUGUUAGGAAGCUAAAUCCUAUCACUAACAAAACUAUAGAAAACUAGGAUUCUAAGCUAAAAGAACAAGAGAAUAGAAAUCAGAAAGAAAGUUCCAUGGUUCAGCUGUUAGAAAGUUCCAUGGUUCAGCUGUUAGACAAAGUAAAAGAUUAUUCAUUGUGGUGGCCUAAGGCUCAUAAGGCUGUUUUUGUUUUUGGUGACCAAUUGUGGUGGUCGAGUCCUUUGUCUUGUUUAGGCAUUGGCUGAUCUCUUGGUGUAACUUUGACUGAACUGCUUGUUCUUUUUUAGUGGUCUUUUUGGUAAACCUUAUGCUGAGAGGACUGCUAUAGCACUCUUAAUAUAAUCCAAAUUUGUCUGUUAAAAAAAAAAAAAAAAAAAACUAUCUAAGAGAAAAUAAAAUAAUUUUUCAUUCAUUUUACUCCAUUUCCCUAAUGAGACAAUACACUCAAUAUAUAUAAUAAAUAGAUCAUAAGUUAUUGUGGCCCUACGUCUCCCCAAAUUUAAUGUGAAUUUUUUCUGCCUUAGCAUGCUCCUUGCCAUGUCUAGUACACUUAUAUUUCUUCUUUUUGUAAGUCGAUUAUGUUAAGACCUGUUGGGUGUUUUUACUUCAUGUAUGAUUCCUUGACUUGAACAAUAAGCCUCAACUCUCUUGAGGUGUACUCCAGACCUCCAUCAAAUCUGAGAAUCUUCAGCAUCUUCCCACUUUGCUUCAAAUUUCAAGAGAAAGAAACGUAUGAACAAGAAACUAAUUGCUAAAAUACGUCAAAAAAACAAUAAACAACAAAAUGUGUAAAUGGUAGUAUUCCAACCAAACAACAAAAUGUAUGAACAUUACAUAUAUCAUUUGAAUGACUAGUAAGAUUGAAAUCAUGUGAAGAAAUGAGUGAACUCCUUAAUUUGAAGAUGAAACACAAGAACUAAUGCAUGCAUGGCACAUGUCUUAUCAAACUUAUAAACUAUCUUAACCAACUUCAAUCUUUCCUUGCACGUUGUUUCUUAAGUAGUUAGUUGAAUGCAACAUUGCCAAUUCUUGAAAUUCCAACCCAUGGUGACCUUUUCAAACGUGACAUGUCUGACCUUCGAAGAUUUACUCUUUGAAUGUAGCUUUUACUCGAAUAAAUCAUCUCAAGAAUAUUUAAAACUGUUUGUUUAUGCACAUGAAAAAAAUCUCAUUCAACUUACACCAUCGGUUUCAAAACUAAAUUUUGAACUUUUCAUCAUAUAACAAAGUGUUGUUCUGUGGUAAAAACUUUUAACUAAAGAAAAUUAUGUGGUGAAAACAUAGUGUAUGUUUAGUUCUACGAUGAUAAAAAUUGAUUUCGAGUGAAUUAAUUUUAGAAAAUUAUUUGUUUAAAAGUAAGCUGAAUGUAAAUGAUUUAUGUUUAGAUAUGUUUAUGUAGUAAAACUGAGUUGAACAAUAAAUUUAAGUCUAAAAGUAAAUUAUAAAAUUAAAAACUACAAAUUCUAACUUUAAAUAAAAUCAAUUAAAAAUACAAAAUUAAUUCCACUCAAUUUUUUAAAAAAAACUACAAAUUCUCAAUUUAAAUAAAAUCAAUUAAAAAGACAAAAUUAAUUCUACUCAAUUUUUUUUGUACAAAUUCUACUCAAAAUUAAAUAUUAAAUAUACAUGUCAAAAUCAAUUUUAAAUUUCUACGAUCAAAAAAUGGAACCAAAUAUGCAUCCGGUGUUUAACCUUAAGUUUAAAAUCUCAAUGCAACUACAAAAAGAGAAUUUAAUUUUUUUUUUUGAUGUGACGGUUUAUACGAGCAACUCUUCCACAGGCACAAACCUAAAUGAAAAUCAUUUGGACACACACAUUUAAAAAGUAUAAAUAAAUAAAUAAAUUAGUUACAUUAUUUUUUACUUUUAUCUCUUAAUUUUGUUUAUCUAUGAAUGUGUAUCUAAGAUCACACCCAAUGGUGAGGUCGUAACCAUUUAAUAUACACCCCCAUUACGAAAGGGAAAAAAAUUUGGGGUCUUAUAGGACCUAGGGUCUCACAUUAGCAUCUUAUUCUUAACUUUUCAUUAAAUUAAUUAGUUUGCAAUGUUUGUUUGGUAUGCUAUGUUGACUCAUUUAAAACGUUUGUUAGAGGUGUUGCAUUUGAGUGAUUGAAUGCGUAUUAGGUACUAUUAUUUAAAAAUUUACAAAUAAAUGAUAUGUACACGUGAGACUUGUUUAAGUAUUCAAAAUUGAAUAUCUACAUUGCGGAUGCUUUAGCUGUUUUUUAUUUGUGUUUCUGACGGACCAAACUUUCUCCAUAUAUACCAUGUGCACCAAUUAACAAAGGACAAAAUACAUCUUUUUCUACCGGGAAAGACAAAAUACUCCUUAUCAACUUAAGCUGGAAGUAGAAACCUAUGGUCAAUAUGCAACUUUGAUAAAAUACCACAAAUAUAUAAAUAUCCAAAGAUAGGUGCAUUUCCUCGUGAAUCACGCCUAUGAAAACAAUUGUUUUUCAAACAUAGGUGCAUUACCUCGUGUAUUUUUUGUAUGAUUAUUUAAUUCUUUUUUUAUAAAGGUGUAUGAUUAUUAACUUAAAUAAUUGUAAUUUCUUAAAAUUUAUAUUUUUUAAAAACUCUUUAUAACCAUUAAAAUUAGAUUUUAAAUUAAGAAUUAUAUGAAUAUGUGCAUAAAUUUUGUCCUUCUUUUUGUACAAACAAGACAAUAGCUAAUAUCAUUGACAUAUUAGUUUUGUGUUUAUUUAAAAAUAAUAUGUUAGAUCACUUUUUUUCUAAAGUUAAUAUCAAUCAAAUAUAUAUAUAGAUUUUUAAAUGGACUAAUUAAUAAAUAGGGGUACAAUACUUCCCCUCUCCUCUCCUCCUUAAACAAAAAAAAUAAAUAAAUACCUCCCCUCCCCAAAUAAACUAAAGAUACAUUACUUUCAAAAAUGUCAAUCUCUUACCUAAAAAUAAACAUAUGAUUAGUAAGGUCAGAUUUGCAGCAUAAUAUUUUAAUCAAAUUGGAAAUACUCCUUCAACUCCUCAAACUAAUUAUAUAUAUGCUAGUUGUUUUAUAACCGGUUUCAAAAUAGUUUCCCUUCCCACUAUCUCUUCCUACAACAAGCAUGGAGUUUCUAAUUAAACUCAUCACAUUUCUACUCUUCUUGAUGCCUACAAUCUCUUCCUCCCAAUAUCUUGGAAACAAUAUACUCACCAAUCGUAAAAUAUUUCCAAAACAAGAAACUCUAACCUCGUACGCUGUCGUCUUUGAUGCUGGUAGCACCGGUAGCCGUGUUCAUGUCUACCAUUUUGAUCAGAACUUAGAUCUUCUUCACAUUGGCAACGAUGUUGAGUUUUAUAAUAAGGUUAUUAAUUAAAUAUUACAUCUUGGCUUUACAAGUUUCGUAAGAAAUAAAUAAUAUAUGUUCUUGAAUUAUGGACAGAUUUAUUUAUUUUUUCUUCUUAAAUUACUAUCGUUACUUAAACUUUUGUUAAUGCAUGUAUGAGUUAUAAUAUCUUCAUUGUGUUCAUGUUGUAGACAACACCCGGUUUGAGUGCAUACGCAGAUAAUCCAAAGGAAGCAGCAGAGUCUCUGAUUCCACUUUUAGAGCAAGCAGAAAGAGUGGUUCCUGUUAAUCUGCAACCCAAAACACCCGUUAAGCUUGGGGUGGGUUUUCUAACAAUGUCUUAAUUUUGAUGGUUGACUAUCACUUUUUUAUUUAGAUUAUAACUUUUUUUAGAGGAGAUUACAACUUAAAAUUUAGUAACUUUUUUUGUAAAUUAAUACUAAAAAACCAAAAUUAUUUGUCAUGUUUGUUGUAGAAAACAAUAUUUGUUAAUGUUGAAUCAUUACAGAAAUUUAUUAAGAGAAAAAUAUGAAACUUAUCUUUAUUUCUUUUUUUUUUUUUUUUUAGUACAAAUCUUAUCUUAGGUGUCAAUUAGCUACAGAAAUUUACUUUUUCUAUUAUUAUUUUUUUUGUGUCAAUUAGUCUUGUGAUUAGAAAUUAACCUUUUUAAGAUAAAUAAGUAGAGAAUCAGGAUUUCAAAAUUAGCCUCUGGAUAUAUUAUACGAUAUCUCUAUCAAUUGAGCAAUACUCACCACGACUUUUUACUUCUUAUUUUGGUCAUUAAUUCUCUAGUGUUUUCUUCUAAUAAUAAAACUUUUUUUUAAAAAUUUAUAUGAUAAUGCAGGCAACAGCCGGUUUAAGGCUUUUGGAUGGAAAUUCUUCCGAAUUGAUAUUGGAAGCGGUAAUUGUAUAUAUGAACUUCAUUUCUUAUGUUGUUUAAUGUUUUUAACACUUUUUUGGGUCUUAAAUGUUUACAGCUUUCAUUUCCAUAUCUUAGGUGUCGAGUUUGCUCAAAAAGAGAAGCACGUUUAACGUACAAUCAGAUGCAGUAGGAAUUAUUGAUGGUACACAAGAAGGUUCUUAUUUAUGGGUAUGACAUACACUGAACUAAAAGUGUUGUUUAUAUUCUAUUUUUCUGAUAAUAUAUUUGUGAGUAAAUAGACAAAUUAAUCUUUACAAUUAUUAUAAGUAUUGAUUAAAAUAUUAUUUGGUUUUUGAGAACGAACUAUAAGCAAAAGUGGUAAUUAAAUGGUUAAUGUAUGAGAGAGUAUAAUAUAAACUACAUACAUCAUUGAUUGAAUGAAUCUAAAAGUCAAAAUUUACUUAUAUUAAAAAACGGAGGGAGUAUCUUAUUAAUGAGAAUAUGUUGUUUGGUGAAAAUGAGAAUGUAAUGUGGAAUGAAAUUAAAAACAUUGUUGAAAAUAUUUGUGUUUUACCUUUUUAAUGUUGGAAACAAAAAAUUGUAUUGUCUCGAAAAAAAACCGCACCAAUCGAUCCAACUCAAACCACAUUGGUUUGGUUUGGUUUGGUUCGGAUUGUAUUUUAAAAGUCAACCGAAUCAAACCAAACCGCAUGUUUUUUUAUCUUGCAGUUCGGAUGACUUUUAACCUCAAAACCGAACCAAACUGCACCGCGAACACCCCUAGGUAAAAGGUAGUGAUUUUAGCACGACGUCCAAGAUGUGAAUUUAUUCUUCACAUUAAAUGUUGAAACUUACUAUAAAUACAAUACCCUAAAAAAAUUUCAAUAAUAUCUGUCAAUAAUAACCGAUACAAAUCACACCGCAAAAACCCCUGCUACAUGAUAAAAUUGUUGCAGCGAAACCAUUUUAUUUUAUUUUUGAUAGAGUAGUGGAAACAAUUUGAAAAGUGCUUUCCUAACCUUGCAACAUUUGUGUAGGUGACAAUUAACUAUGUUUUGGGAAACUUGGGAAAAGAUUUUUCAGAGACAGUGGCAGUAGCUGAUCUUGGAGGGGGAUCAGUUCAAAUGGUAUAUGCAGUCUCAAGAGAACAAGCAAAAAAAGCUCCACAAGUACCUCAGGGAGAGGAUCCAUACAUAAAAAAGAUUGUACUUAAAGGAAAGAAAUAUUACCUCUAUGUUCACAGGUUUUAUUCUUAUUCUUGGAUAUAAAUUACCAUUUACCAGUGUGAAAAAAUGUUUAGAUAUAUAUAUGUCUUGCUAAUGUUUAUUUCUUUCAGUUAUUUGCGGUUUGGCAAAGAAGCAUCUCGUGCUGAAAUUUUGAAAGUCACUAAUGGUUCUCCUAAUCCUUGCAUUUUAGCUGGCUAUCAUGGUAAACACACGCAACUUCAUUGAUUUACACAUAUCUUUCUAGCAUAAACCAUUCUUAUAACAUGAACCUUUUUAUUCUGCAAAGGCACAUAUACAUAUUCAGGAGAGGAGUAUAAGGCAUUUUCUCCUGCUUCUGGCUCCAACUUUGAUGAAUGCAAAGAGAUAAUUCUUAAGGCACUUAAAGUGAAUGAUCCAUGUCCUUAUGGGAAAUGUAGUUUUGGUGGGAUAUGGAACGGUGGAGGAGGAAGUGGGCAGAAAACUCUUUAUGUUACAUCAUCAUUUUAUUACGUGCCUACAGGGGUAUGUAUCGAGGAUUUCAUGUCGGAUUUCAUGACAUUCACUCAUUUGAUGACCAUUUGAUCAGAAUAGGCAUUUUUUGAACUGGAUCUUGAUCGAACUUCGACUAAUAUUAUUUGUACACGUGUAGGUUAAUAUUGCUGAUCCAAAUAAGCCCAAUUCCAAAAUUCGUAUCGAGGAUCUGAAAACUGGAGCUGAGCAAGUCUGUAAAACAAAAUAUAAGGAUGCCAAAGCCACAUAUCCACUUAUUUAUGAGGAUAGUCUUCCAUAUGCAUGCUUGGAUCUUAUUUACCAAUAUACAUUGUUUGUUGAUGGAUUUGGUAAGUUUGCAUGCUUGAAAUUGCAUUCACUAUUAUUUUACUGUCAUAUUCAAAUUAAGAUGACAUACUCAAAAAUAGGAGCAUACCUCUAGUAUUCUUAGGCAACCUAAGUUAAUGUCUUUUAAGUUAACAAAAAACAUCUAUUUGUUGACGCAGGCCUAGACCCAUUGCAAGAGAUUACCGUGGCAAAUCAAAUUGAAUAUCAAGAUGCCCUUGUGGAUGCAGCAUGGCCUCUAGGCAAUGCAAUAGAAGCUAUAUCAUCAUUGCCCAAAUUUGAUCCUUUCAUGUACUACUUUAUUUAAGCUUCUAGAAUUAAAUAUGGGAUACUUUAGUGUUAAACACUAAGAGCUGUAUCAUCAACACUCUCUCUAAUACCCACUAUCUUAUUAGUUUAUAUCAUUGUGGUCUGCAUUUUGAAAAUAGAAGACAUACAUUGAUUCCAUUCGACAAAAGAGUGGAUGUUAUACAGGGUGUUCAAACGUAAGUGUUGCCAACAUUCUUUAUAAAAUAAACAUAAAACAUCUAAUUUUUCAUUAAUUUUGUUGCAUAUGGCUCGCUUAUGUUAUGGUUAAAAUAGUAAAGCAGAGCAGUUGUUGCAACAUCAAUCAAAUUUUGCUUUAAAUUAAUCAAUUAUCAAUGGCGUCGACCACGUUGGAGAUCCGAAGACAUGAGUAUUUUAGAUACUUGAAUAUAAUCAUAUGUGUAGACUUUUGUACUUUGUCAUUUUGUGCCAUUAACAUAAAUGUUGUGAAUUUGUUCGUAGAUUCAUCCUUUUUAAUUUUAGCAAAUAUACAACAUUAUUAAUUUAAAUGAAUGAAUAUGAUUUAUUUUUGUAAAAAUAAAAUAAAAAUAAUGUGUAAUGAAACGAAGAUUUUAUGCAGAUCGUCCCAUUGGAGUUGCGGGGAAAUUGUGGAUCUUAUAAUAUAUAUUUCAUCUCUAUGUAAACUUUCCUUUUUGUUCAGAUAAGUAUUCUUCGUUUCUAUGUUAAAAUUUAAUAGGUAAAAUCUCUUAUCUUUUUUUUUUUUAACUUUGUUUCCAUUCUUUUUUUUUAAAUCUAAUUUUUGUGGAAUGAUUGUCAUAAUAUUCUACUCGUUUUUGAAAAAUUUCAUUAAAAAAUAUGAAGGUUAGAUAUGAGAUGACUCGGCAAAUACACAUCUUUAAAUGACUCGACAAAUACACAUUUUUAAAUAGCAUCAUCGUCAAAUAUCACAUCUUUAUAUAACACAUUUUUAAAUCACACAUCUUCAAAUAGUAUAUCUUUAUAUAACACAUUAUUUUCACAUCGUGGAAUAACACAUCAAUUUCACAUCAUCAAAUAAUUCACAAAUCACACUUAAUUAAAUAAUUCCUCAAUUAAUAUCUAACCAAUUCAAAAGAUAUGAUAAUGAAAAUAACAGACAUUUAUUCAUGCUUUUGAUCAAUUGAUAAAAAAAAAAAAAUGAAAAUCAAGUAACAGUUAGAAUAUCACAUGGAAUUUAAAUAAAAUAGACAUGGCAACCAGGAGCGAGCACGGCAAUAUGAAUUGAAUGGAACAACAACGUGAAAGAAACAAGUAGAAAAUAUAUGGGUCACGGCUGACAGUAAGGAUCAAACAACUCUUUAAUUGAAAUUGAAACAGGGAGGCAAGGCAACAUCAAGUAAUUGAUUUGGAUUCGCACGACACAUUUAUGAUUUUCCAACAAUUAAAACUCAAUUUAACAGCUACGAAUUCAUAAACAAUACGACAACAACAAUAAGAAGUAACACGCAGGAGUAAUAAGAUUAAAGUACACAACAAGCAAUUAGAGCACAAAUUUUAAUUUAAACAUAGAUUCAUCAAAUAAGGAAACAACAAAAAAUAACAACCUGUCACUACCCAUAUGUUCAUACAACCUUAUGAUGAAUAUAACUCCCCCCUUACCUCUAGUUUUGCGAAAUUGAUGAUUUCCUACGUUGAAAUCUCUCUAAGUUCUUCUGGCUAUUCCUCUUUGCCUCUUCUCUCCAUAGUCGGUAACCCUUUUUCUCUCAUUCUCUUCUCUAUUUAUAAGCUUUAAUAGAGUUUGUUAUCAAUCUUUUUAUGUUAAUAUAUGUCCUCUAGAUUUGUUACUAAUCUUUUCAUAUUACUAUUUGCACCUCUAUAUUUUGUUACUAUUAUUUCUGUAACUACACUGUCUUGCUAUUCACACUCCCCUCUACUUAAAUCAUUAAAGUACUACUCAUCUCACUAACUACACCUCUUUUCUUCCCAAUUUUACUGAUCCUCCCGUUCUCACUCUAAUUUCUUAUUUUCUCUACAAAAAAAAAAAAAAAAAAACUCUAUUUUCCUUCUAAAUAUUAUUUUCUCUCACUCUUUAAAUGACUAAUCAACCCACUCAUUACCUAUUCUUCCAAUAAAUACGAAUAUUUAAAUUAAUACUAUCUAAAAACAUAUACUAAUACUAACAUUAAUACUAAUAUUAUCUAAAAUUAAUAUUAAUAAACUAAUAUUCAAAAUCGAGGUGUUAUAAAUGAUGUAAGACGAAUGAAUAAGACGGAAAUAUCAGUAACACGAUGUCAAUAUCAAACUCCCAUAUAUAAAAUAUGCACCAAUUAACAAGGACAAUAUACUGCUUUUUCUUUUAGGGAAGGAAAACAAUACUUCUUAUUAACUUAAGCUGGAAGCAGAAACCUAUGGUCAAUAUGCAACUUUGAUAAAAUACCACAAAUAUAUAAAUAUCCAAAGAGCUUUGUUAAUAAAAUAUAUACACCAUCCGGUUAUUACUACAAGCAAAAAUUCACAUUUUAGGUUCAUUCAGUAAAUGAUGUCAACAUAUAUCAUUUAUCGAAGGGUUAAUAGUAUUUUACCCCCUGUAAUAUAGGUCAUUUCCAGUUUUCACUUCUUUAAAAUUUUCUUUUUAGAUUCCGUCCUUGUAAUUUGAAGUUUUUUGGUUUUGGACCUUCAUGAAUUUUAACUGUACAAAAUCGAUGAUAUGGCAGGGGGUAAACCGAAAUUUUUUCAAAUUGCAAGGGGGUAAACCGAAAUUUUGUCAAAUUACAGGGGAUAAAAUUUUUCAUGAAGGUCUAAAACAAAAAAAUCUUCAAAUUACAAGGACGGAAUCCAAAAAAAAUAUUUUAUAGGGGGAAAACCGGAAAUGACCUAUAUUACAGGGGGUAAAGCAUUAUAAACCUUUAUCGAAUGAACCUAAAAUAUAAAUUUUUGUGUAUAAUAAUAACAGAAAGGACUAAAUGUACUAACAGUGAAAAACUUAGAAAACCGAAAUAAAUCAAUUUUUAGUUAGAGUACCAAUCUGAUACCAAUUUAUAGAUUAUGGGGCAGCGAUGAUUGUGAGUGAGAGUUUUUACCUUCUGAGGGGAAUAAUGGUGGUAUUCUCUCGAUUUGGCAUAAAUCUAUGUCGACGGUGCAUUAUACGUUUGUGGGAGAAGGUUUUGUCGGAUUAUCGUUGGAGUGAGGGGUUUUAAAGCAUAGGUGUGUUAUUAUAAAUGUUUAUGCAAAAUGUGAAUCGGUGGCCAAGAGGCGGUUGUGGGAGAGAUUGUUGUUGGCUAGAAGAAAUUUGGGGAAGGGGCAUGGUGUGUUCUUGGAGAUUUUAAUACCGUAAGUAGUAGGGAAGAAAGAAGGGGGAUUCAUGAUGAUGCGUCCACAAGUCAAGUUUUAGAUAUGGAUUUCUUCAUUAGAUUUCUAAUCGAAGUGGAGUGGAGUUGGAGGAUCAAAUGGUGGCAGGGAGAAGGUUUACUUGGUAGCACCCUAAUGGUCGGUCAAUGAGCCGGAUUGAUAGAGUUUUGGUGUCGAAGGAAUGGAGGCAUUUUUGGGGGGAUGUGAAUCUUUGGGUCCUUCCAUGGGACGUUUCUGAUCAUUGUCCUUUUCUCCUAAAAGUGAAAGGUUGGGAUUGGGGCCCAAAACCGUUCUGUUUUAAUAAUUUUUGGUUGGAUAAUGGUGAUAUUAAGAAGAUGGUGGAAGAAGUUUUGAGGUCGAGUAAUUUAAGUGGGUGGAUGGGGUAUCUUUUGACGGACAAACUCAAUUCUUAAAGGGAAAUUGAGGGAGUGGAAUAUGGGGGUUUGGAUGACCGGGUGAAGAGGUUGACGGAGGAGAUAGUGGUGUUGGAUGUGUGGGGGGAGGUUGGAGGUUUAAAUGAAGAGGAAGUUCAACUUAGGAAGCUUAAGUUUAGUUCACUUUGGAGGUUACUAAAGGCAAAAGAUUCUUUAUUGGUUCAAAGAUUACGAUCAAGGUGGCUAAAGGAGGGGGAUGAUAAUACUAAGUUCGUCCACAAUUGUAUUAAAUCUAGAGUAAAUGGGAAUUGAUAGUGCGGUUGGGUUUUCCUAGGAAGUGGGUGGCUUGGAUGAAAGCGUGUGUGUGUGGUGGAAAUAUGUUCGUUCUUGUAAAUGGAAUCCCAAUGGAAGAAAUUUGCAUUCAAACAGACCUUAAACAAGGAGAUCCCCUAGCUCCGUUUUUAUUUCUCCAAGUGGCGGAAGGCUUCAGUGGCUUGAUGAGGAAUGCGGGUCGUUUGGAGUUGUUCAAGGGUUUUGGUUUCAUGAGAGAUGGUAUGGUAAUCUCUCACCUACAAUAUGUGGAUGAUACUAUUUGUAUAGGCGUGGCAACUGUGGACUUUGGACUUUGAAAGCAAUGUUGACAGGUUUUGAAUUGACAUCGGGUUUAAAGGUGAAUUUUUCUAAAAGUUGUUUGUUGGGAAUUAAUGUUUCUGGCGACUUCAUGGAGAUGGCGUGUAAUUUUUUUAAUUGCACGGAGGGGACGUUGCCUUUCAAAUACAUGGGCCUUCAAAUUGGAGCAAAUCCGAGAAGGAUGUCGACUUCUCAACAAACUUAUUUUUUAAAUUAUGCUUGCCAUUCAUAAUCUUAAAAACUUACAAAAUUAUUUUUUCAAUGCAAUAUUUAUUUUUUAAUUCCACUUUUAGAUCUUUAUCUUGUGCCCUGGUUAACCUUUUUCUUUCUUUAUAUAUAAUAUAUAGAAUAGAUGAUACCCUCGUAAAGUAAUUGCAACUUAUAGAACCUAUUUUUAUUUUUUUUUGAUAGAAAGUAGGGAAACCAAUUUGAAGAGCACUUUCCUAACCUUGCAACAUAUAUGUGUAGGUGACAAUUAACUAUGUUUUGGGAAACUUGGGAAACACACAAAAGGAUUUUUCAGAGGCAAUGUCUGUGUUGGAAAAUGUUGUGGUGGAAUUGGGAAACACUUUGAGUGUUGCAUUAGGUGAUAUUGGAGGGGGAAUAACUAUUGAUGCAGUCUCAAGAGAGCAAGCAAAAAAAGCUCCACAAGUACCUCAGGGAGAGGAUCCAUACAUAAAAAAGAUUGUACUUAAAGGAAAGAAAUAUUACCUCUAUGUUCACAGGUUUUAUUCUUAUUCUUGGAUAUAAAUUACUAGGUAGUGUUAAAAAUAUUUAGAUUUAUAUAUAUAUAUAUAUAUAUAUAUAUAUAUAUAUAUAUAUAUAGGACAUAUCAAAUGAGAGCACUCUUUAUCAUGAGAGGAUGAGAGGGUUAAAUCUCAACCCUUGAAUGUAAAUAAAUGGUCGAGAUUAAAAUACUCCUUUUUUCCAUUCACAUGCAUUCUUUUCCUAUUUGUGCUCACCCUUGGACUUCCUGCAUGCUUUCAUUCCCAUUCUUCAACAAAUCCAUCGUCUUCUUUCACAAAGAAAAUUAAUUCAUGGAUUUAGAAAGUUGAAUUUCUUCUUAGUAGCCUACAUCUAUGUUUCAAUUUUGAUAUUAUAUACUUCUUUUCAAUUCUUCCUUUAUUGUUCUCUUUGAAGACGGGAAUCAACAACAAAUCAUCCUAAUAUGUUAUAAAUUAUUGUUAUGGUUUUAGAUAUAUCAAUUGUAAACCACUUGUUUUUCAACUUCAGAUCUGGCAGGAUAACAACCCAGAAACAACAAUGGAUUUUCACCAUUUUUUCAAAACUAAACCUCAUUCUGAUUUAAUUUUUAUAAUUGAGAAAUUCAAAUAAUCAGAUUUAAUUUUAUGAUGGAGAUGAAGUUGAUGAUUGAUGUAAAGCUUGAGGAAGCAAUUUUAAAAAAGAUGAAAUUGAAGAAUUCCAAUAAAAUAAAAUAAAAAGCAAUUGGGAAAGGUGGGGGUGUCAUAUAUAUGAAGCGGUGGGUAUAGAACCUAAAUCGAAACACCGAUUCACAAAAUUGAAAAGAAUUCCAUCAGAACCUUCUCAAAUCUCUCACAACCAUAUAUGUUUCUUUUCAAUUAGUGUUUUGUUCGACGGAACAAGGAAGGAGUUAUUGUCAAUUGCCAAUUGCUAUUGAGAUUUGAGAGAGAACAAGGAAGGAGAAACGUUUGGGACGAAGCAAGCGUGGAAAGAAAAAAUAAAGUCACUUGCCAUUUAAAGUGCACCUUUUAAUGUGAGCCAUUCAUUUUAAUUUAAGGGUCAUUAUUUAUUCCUCUCAUCCUCUCAUUAUAACACUCCUCUCAUUUGAUACACCCUAUAUAUAUAUAUAUAUAUAUAUAUAUAUAUAUAUAUCAUUUGCUAAUGUUUAUUUCUUUCAGUUAUUUGCGGUUUGGCAAAGAAGCAUCUCGUGCUGAAAUUUUGAAAGUCACUAAUGGUUCUCCUAAUCCUUGCAUUUUAGCUGGCUAUCAUGGUAAACACACGCAACUUCAUUGAUUUACACAUAUCUUUCUAGCAUAAACCAUUCUUAUAACAUGAACCUUUUUAUUCUGCAAAGGCACAUAUACAUAUUCAGGAGAGGAGUAUAAGGCAUUUUCUCCUGCUUCUGGCCCCAACUUUGAUGAAUGCAAAGAGAUAAUUCUUAAGGCACUUAAAGUGAAUGAUCCAUGUCCUUAUGGAAAAUGUAGUUUUGGUGGGAUAUGGAACGGUGGAGGAGGAAGUGGGCAGAAAACUCUUUAUGUUACAUCAUCAUUUUAUUACGUGCCUACAGGGGUAUGUAUCGAGGAUUUCAUGUCGGAUUUCAUGACAUUCACUCAUUUGAUGACCAUUUGAUCAGAAUAGGCAUUUUUUGAACUGGAUCUUGAUCGAACUUCGACUAAUAUUAUUUGUACACGUGUAGGUUAAUAUUGCUGAUCCAAAUAAGCCCAAUUCCAAAAUUCGUAUCGAGGAUCUGAAAACUGGAGCUGAGCAAGUCUGUAAAACAAAAUAUAAGGAUGCCAAAGCCACAUAUCCACUUAUUUAUGAGGAUAGUCUUCCAUAUGCAUGCUUGGAUCUUAUUUACCAAUAUACAUUGUUUGUUGAUGGAUUUGGUAAGUUUGCACUAUUUGAAGUUUUUUUUACAUAUGUUUUCUGGCAAUAUAUAUUAUUGACUUAAAUAUCUUUUGUAAAAUAUAUUAUUUACUUAUGAUCUUCUGUAAUAUAGGUCAUUUUUAGGUUUGUCCCAUGUAAUUUUUGUUUUGUUUUUGUCUUUGUAAAAAAAAAUUGUUUCAAAAUACCCCCUAAUAAGACAUUCAAAAACCAAAUUUUUUGAAAUUUUUUUUCUGAAAAUGGCCUAUUAGAGAGUAUUCUGAAAAGAAAAAAAAUUAUAAAUAUGAAAACCAAUUUUUUUUACAGGAAAUAAACUAGAAAUAACUUAUAUUACAUGGGAUAAAACACAAUUAACCCUAUUCUAAUAUUCUUAGGCAACCUAAGUUAAUCUCUUUUAAAUUAACAAGAAAAAAACAUCUAUUUAUUGACGCAGGCCUAGACCCAUUGCAAGAUAUUACCGUGGCAAAUCAAAUUGAAUAUCAAGAUGCCCUUGUGGAUGCAGCAUGGCCUCUAGGCAAUGCAAUAGAAGCUGUAUCAUCAUUGCCCUUCUAGAAUUAAACUUUGGAUAGUUUAGUGCUAAAGACUACUUUAGCCAAUAAAAUAAAGAGCAGUGUUAUUAACCGACGACAAACACACGACUUAUUAAAUAAAUGGAUGGCACACACAACAUAGGAGAAAGAAUAAAAGCAGCGAUGUGUAUAAUAUGUAUCCAAUUGUUUUAAUAUGUCGUGCCCUAUUAGUAUUUGUAAUAGAGUAAUGAUACAUAGACACCCCUUAUUCUCAUACACCCUUGUACACCCCAUGUAUUAGGAAGAGAGAAGAGGAGAGAAAAGAGAAAGUGUGCUUGUGCGGGGUCCACGUGACUACGUGUUAGAUUUUUGUGUGGAUGUUAAAGGAUGUAUUGUCAUCUAAGAGUGUCUAUGUAUCAUUACUGUUGUAAUAUGUCGUGCCAACAAGCAAUAUCCUAAAAUAAAAUAAAAAACAUCUCAUUUUUCGUUGCAUAUAUGGCUCACUUUGAAUUUUACUUCUACUUAUUAAGUUGAUCUUUAAAUUACAUACGCUACAUGAGCACGAACCUUAAGAGAAAUUUUGUGGAAAUUUUCACUUCAUUUUUUUAGUGGGGUUAAUUUUUUACACAAGUAUUACUAGACAUAUGUGCAGUUUACAAGCAUGCGACGUUACCACCAAGAAUGAGUCAAUCGAAACCAUGUAGCUUAUGUUAUGGUAAAUAGUAAAGCAGUGUAGUUGUUGCAAACAACAAUCAAAUUUUGCUUUAGAUUAAUCAAUUAAUGUGUAACAGAAACGAAGAUUUCAGUGGUUUUUCAUGCAGAAUUAGUUACAAACAUAUAUCUAAACAAUUUGGAUCACCAAACUCAACCUAAUAGACCUGAAGCCGCUAUUUAAACAUUAUUUAGAGUAUCUUGGUCAUAUGAUUUGAAAACCAAUAUUUUCCUUCAACCGUCACAGCUCUAGUGCAUCAUGUUUCCUCUUUGGUUGUUUGUUUGACUCCCUUUCGUCCCAUUGGAGUUGUGGGGAAAUUGUCAAUCUUAUAGCAUCUAUUUCGACCUUUAUUUUUGUUAAGAUAAGUAUUCUUUGUUUCUAUUUUAAAAUUUGAUAUGUAAAAUCUCUGGUUUUUUUAACUUUGUUUCCAUUCUUCUCAGUGGGGAUAAUCUCAAGAAAUGAAUGUUAUUUGAACAACUAUUUUUUAGGAUAAUUUAUGAGACAACCAAAAUAUGCAAAUUAAUGUAUGGAUUGACACAAAAAUCAAAGCAAUAGAGAGAGAAGGUUAAAACAAAAUGUGAGUAUGAAAGAAAAAAAAAAUUGUUACAAAAUGGUUGUUCAAAUAUUAUUUCUUGUCUCAAGAACAUAAAACAACAUCAUGGGUCAGGCUCCGUCUAUGGUGGGCGACCUUAAUAGGUCCCCCACCGUAGGAGACAUGGUUUUUUCUUCUUUCUUUUCUUUUUAAAAUUAAUAUGAAUGGUUUUUUCUUCUUUCUUUUCUUUUUAAAAUUAAUAUGAAUCGAUGGAUAAGGGUUAACCAACCCUUGGAUCAAAAUGCUUACUAUACACCUCCAACACUCAAUCCGGCGUUGUUCUGGUUAGACAUAUAAUUAAGGACAACCGAAAUUAUGUAUACAAGGUACCCGCAUAUAAAAUUUACCACGAACCAAUACAUGAUCAAUAUCUUAAUGGGUACACACGAAUAAAAACAAAUCAUAUUUUAAGUAACCGUAAAUCAAUAGAUGCACAUGCCAUGAAAUAAACAAGAUUUAGGCCAAAAAAAAAACUUUUUUUUGACAAAUUGGAUUUAUUAAAAUUAUUAACACGAAUAGAAUACAAUAAACAUUUUAUUCUAUAUAUGUUAAUAAUUUUACUAAAUCCAGUUUGUCAAUUUUUUUAUGAAAUCAGGUUAAUUUUAUCUGCAUGUGCAUCUAUUAAUUUACGGGUACUAAAAAUAUGAUUUUUUUAUUCGUGUGUACUCAUUAAGAUAUUUGUGUUAUAUCUAUUCGUGGUAAAUUUUAUAUGCGGAUACCUUGCAUACAAAAUUUUGACCGUCCUUAAUUAUAUGUUUACCCCGGACUAUGCCGGAUAAAUACAAUACUAAUUUAGUAUAAAAGAAAGCAACUGAAUGUUGAAGGUGUGUAAUAAACAUUUUAAUUCAGAGGUUGAUCAACUUUUAUCCAAUAGUUUAUAUUUAUUUAAAAAAAAAAACUAUGUCUAGGAAACCUAUUAGGAAAAAGAUUGAUAGUGCGACAAAUUACCCACAAAAAAACAACGAAUAGAUAGUGACCGUUGGAUCUUGCAUUAGAUUGAGUGUACUUUGAUUUUCAUAUAUUUGAAAAAAUAAUACCACUGCCACAUGAUUCGUGUGCCAGUCGCACUGUUAUUUCUCGCAUCAAGUAGCAACUCUCAACCUAUUAAGGUAGCCACCGGAAACGGAACCCAUGGGUCGGCCAUUACUCGAAGAUAUAAUAGCUGACAUCAUAAUAACGAAGCAAUUGGUGUCCAUUUAAUAAUAAGUUUAAUAAAGAGAAAUGACAUAUAUACUACUACUUUAAAACAACUCUCUUUUAUAAUUUUGUUGUGUCUUUGCAUUCUAUUUCUUUUAAUAAAAGUUAAGAAAAAAUUAUUUUAAAAGUUAUCACACAAGUAUGAUCGGUAUUCUUUAAUAAAACACAAAAUAGUAUGUAGAGAACCUUCUUUGAUGGGUGUCUUAAUCGAAUAAAAGCAUCUUUGAAGCAUAAUUAUUGAAGUCAAAGAGUUGUAGAUAAUCAUAACCAUUUUUUUUGUCUACUAUAUCGUGGCUCACUCCAGCUUUUGGUAUUCGUGGACAUGGUAACUUCUUUUUGUAGUAUAAGCUAUAGUAAAUUCUCUAAUCUUUUGAAUGCCUCCAAAGAAAAACUACUCUAAAAUUAUCACGUUUCACAUGGUUUAGGUCUUUUGUGGUGUUUGUAAUUCGGUUUGCAUCGGUUUGAAUAAUAAAAAGUCAUCUAAUAUAAACAUUAAAAUAAGACGAGUUUUCUUGACAAAAAAAAUAAUUAAAAAGACGAGUUCUUUUAAAAAAAAUAUUAGCGAAAAGACGAGCGCUCACAGGUUUACUGUGAAGUAUGUCUCCAAAAAAAGACGGAUGUCUUUUAAAUAAUUUUAAACGUACUCUUGUAGAUAACAUACAUCUCAUUCAUGGGAAGCACUUCAGUGCCAUUGUGCCAUAGGACCAAUCAUAUUUUGACACGUGUCAAGGCUUAUUAAAAUAAAAUAAAAUAAAAACUGAAAAAGGAAGUUUAAACUGUAAAAUGCAGUUAUAAAAGUGGACUGAUGUAGCAAAAUAGUGUAAACUAGUUAGUAAUUUUGCACUAACAAUUCAAAUCCUUUAUAUACAUCAAUUAAUUGUGCAAUAUUGUAAAGAUAGGCUAAGCAAGCUUUAUUUUGUAACAGAUUGGUGUUGUUUCAGCACACGGUCCUAACUCCUAACAAACUUUGGAGUAACCAAUUUUGUUUUCCUGAAAUACAAGAACAGGAAGACCUCACUUUCCCUUGUUUUCUCUCUUUUUCUAUGAUAUAGCAUAUUGCUAAAAUAUGCGGUACACCAAUGGACAAAAAUCUAAACAAAGCCCCUACAGCCAUCCUAAUUCUACCAAAGUCCAAAGGUAGUGAUGAUGCUAACAUAUACAACAAAGUAACAGAGGAUCCCAGCCACAAGCACAGCCACAUAAAGGCACAACAAAGCACCAAAAACCUCUAAAACCCAGCCUAGUAUAUCCCAGCCUCAAAACCAGCCCCCAAGUUAUGGAUAUUGUGCACAAAAAACACAAACAGCUGACCAAAACCAGUCGCGCAAAAAACACAAACACAAACUUGUUAUAUUAGUAUACCAUUAUUCUACAAUUGAUUCAAAACAGCACCAAUACCAUUGUUUUCAAUCAAGAGUAACCAUUGUUAUGAAGAAAUCAUGACAAAGCAUAAUACUAACCAAAAAAUAAAUUGAAAAAAAAUGAUUUAAUUGAUGGAUAAAACUUAAUUUCAUAUACACAUUGAGAUCCAAAUUACAUGAGAGAGACUUAAUCUAAUAUACAUGUAAUCAAAAUCUGACUUGAUUGAAUACACAUAACAAGAUCUAAGCCUUCUUUAGAGACUUUCCUUCCCAAUAGCAGCUGUCCAGUUUUCUUGUUCAAAAUCUUUCAAACAGAUCCAACCUCCCUGCAACCCUUGACACACCAAAAAUCAUCUUGAUAAGCCAAAAAUCUUAUUCACCAAAACAACAUGGAUUCAAUCGAAUACGAGAUUGAGAAGGAGGGAUGUCAAUAGCCGUCGGAGGGCGAUGGUUGAAGGUUAUGGCGGCGGACGGCGAAGAAAACCGGUGGUGGUUUCUGAAUCGCGUUUUCUGGAAGCGAGAAAGAAAACUUGCGUUUUCUGUUUUCUAGGAACCAAAACCGGAGGGCGUUGUGUUUUAUUUCAUUUAAACUUGCUUUUUCAGUUUUUUUAUUAUUAUUUUAAUAAGCCUUGACACAUGUUAAAAUAUGAUUGGUCCUAUGGCACCAUAUUACUAUUGCACUGAAGACUGAAGUGCUUCCCCUCAUUCAUCAACAAUAUGGGGUUGGUUGAUUGGAAUCAUGUUCUAAGAGAAGCAAAUCAAGUGGCAUACCUAUUUGCGAAACAUGGGUUAUCUUUGAAUGAUGAUUUAAAGAUUUUUAAUUUUGUUCCUAGUUUUAUUUCUUUGCCUUUGUUGACAAUGGAUUUUUAAAUACAACUCUUACUGGAUUUGUUUUCUCUAGUCAUAUGUUGAACAUAAAUAAAGAAUUUUCAAUUUUAUUUUUUUUAGAGUGAUCAAUCAUCCUAGAAAAGCUUCUUCUAUUACUCAGGUGGAUCGGAAAGCUAAUCUUUGUAAUUGAUUUAACGGUAAUAUAUUAUAAGGUGUUUCGGGCUUCCUGAAACCUUCUUCUUGUCGUGGCAUUUUCAGGAUUUUAGAGUUUUAAUUGUGAUUGUGAGAAAAACACAAGAAUGGAUUAAAUUGUGUUUACGGAAGGAAGGAGGGAGGGAGGGAGGGAGGGAGGGAGGGAGGGAGAGGGAGGGAGGGAGAGAGAGAGAGAGAGAGAGAGAGAGAGAGAGAGAGAGAGAGAGAGAGAGAGAGAGAGAGAGAGAGAGAGAGAGAGAGAGAGAGAGAGAGAGAGAGAGAGAGAGAGAGAGAGAGAGAGAGAGAGAGAGAGAGCAAUUGUACUGGUUUCACCUACAAUCCAAUAGUCAGGCCCGGCCUUGAGGGAGUGCAUGGUACUCAACCAAGCCAGGCCUAAAAAAAAAUUAAAUCUAAAACCCACCCCCACUUAAAUAAAAAAAUAUGGAGAAUGCUAAUGAGUGCCCUUGAGGCAUUGGUUAAGCUGAUAAAAUUCGUAACUUUGCAUCAAAAAAUGGUGUGAUUAUUGGCAAGACAAAAGUAAAAGUUUAUAUUUCCAAGACAGAAUUUCUAUUAGUGGAUUCUUUAACCACUGCCGUUAGGGCACUGGUUAGCAAAACCCAAAAAAUAUAUGUUACUUCUUUUUCUUUCUUCGGUACACGUUUGAGUUUUUUUUUAGACUCUAGUUCUCCUUUCUGGACAUAAAUCUGAUGCUAUCAAACCACCCCCAAUUUUUAUAAUCAUUUAAUCAGUCAAUUUAUAAAGUUAUUUCAUUGAAAGAAUCACAACAAUGAUUUCUUUUUCGCAUAAACCAUUCGUUUUCCCCUUUCCCACAACGGAUGAGUGACAAAUCCAAACGACACUGUUAGGUAAAUUUCACCUAUCUUUCACUUUUUUUUGGUUUCAUGUUUAGAAGUUCUUUUGGUUUUGAUUUUUUAAUGAAGCUUAGCUUCACAAAAAAAAUUGCAGUUUUAUUUUAUUGGAGGCCUAUUUUAAAAAGAGAGUUGAGCCUCCUAUUUUAUAGGAACAACACUUCCAGUAGUAGUCCAAUCCUCUUGCACUUCCAAGGAAUUUUCACUGUAAUCACAACUAAUUACAAAUGUUCAAGAUACAACCAAGAGACUUGCAAGUGCUCAAGCACACAAGCAAGAGACUUUCAAUGUUCAAUCACAACUGAAUGAGACAUCUAAUGCUUAAGCACAAAAGCAAAAGACUUCUAAUGAGUUUACAAAUAAACAAGAUUUGUUCUUACAUUUGAUAUAUAAUCAGAGGUGUAAACAAUAUAAAUCAUAAUUGACUUUAAGACUUAGAAUUUCUAAAAUACAAACUUUGUUGAGAAAUUCUUAAGUGUUAUAUGCGCUUUUUGAUUUGACAAAGUAAGGACACAAUUAAAAUAGUAGAGUCUUGUUAUUGUUCUUCAAGUCUUCUGCUUCUUAUAUAGGCAAGGAAAUAAGAGACGUUGGAGAAGAGUGUCAGCGCAUUUAGAGUCGCUAAGAAGCUUCAAAUCAAUAAUGUUGGGUCAUUGUCUGAUAUGGAUAAUGUCGUUGAUUAGACAUUCGAAAUUCCUUUGCUGAAACUGGAAUUAUCUGUUCAUUAUCUUUGUCCUUGAAGUUCUUUGUUUGUUUCUACAUGUGGUCAGAAAAGACAAAUUGUAUUAUCAGAUUUUGAUAGAGACAACUAUAGAAAAGGACAAAUCUGACGUGAAGUCUGAGUCCCUCAAGAUCUUUUGCACUUCAGAUUUUGGAGGUCUUAAGAGUCUGAUGUAGAUCUUCAGCUUCUGAGUAACAUCUUUUCUUCUCAUCCAAUGUGUUAACUUCUGGCUGACCUUUCUUCAGAUCUAAUACCAUAGUCUUUGAGCUUCUCUCGUGUUUCUGAUGCUCUCAUACAUGUUCAAACCUUGUUAAAUUUUAAUAUAUGAUCUCGCACACUAGAACAUUUAUAAGCAUAUCCAAUUGUUCUUUAAUAUUUUAUUAUCAUCAAAAUUUUAGAGGAAUUGUACAAACCAAAUUUGUUCCAACAAAUUGUUGGUUGUUUUUCUUUUUCAUUAAGAAUGUGAUUGCUUUUGAAGAUGAGUUAACGACUGCUAACACAACUAUUAAGUUUGCUUUUGAUAAAAGUUGAUAGGGAAAUGUUAACUUGUACCCUUAAGGCACAAGUUAAGAAGCUAAAGAUAAAAAAAAAAAUUUGGAAAUUGUGUAUUCAACAUCACAAAAGUUUAAACAUUUAUACUUUCAAUACAAAAUUAAUUAUUUAUUUCCUUUUAUAGCUCCUUAACUUAUGCCCUUAGGACAUAAGUUAACAAGACCCAAGUUGAUAUCGUCUUUGGUUAGGAUGAUAUUCCUCGCUUGUGGUAAAAACUUUUAAGAAUUUUCAUGUCUAUUUCCUCAAGAAUAAAAAAUAAUUUUAUUUAAGGGAUGAAUAUAAUUAGUUACCUCUCGUCCCGUAAGUGUAGCUCGGUUGGUAGCUACCAAAAAUAAUUUGUGCAGGAGUCAGAGUUCGAACCCCGGAUUCUCCACUUAUCCACACUUAAUGUGUGUGAAUCUAGCCAUUACACUACUUGAUAAAAAAAAAUUGGGCCUCUCAUGUAUAAACAUGUAGUACAAUAGUUACGUUGAUAUGUGGCGUUUGGUUUUCAUCUAGAAAUAAUAUUUGGGGAACUCUUUGACUUAGAUUUAUUUUACAGAAAUGUUGUCGGAAUCGGCAUAAUAUUCACUUAUGUUGUCGGAAUCAGCAUAAUCUUCACUUCUUUAAGCUUGUUUGAAAUUUUUUUCCAUGAGUUCUUUGUUUAUGUUCCACAAUGUUUGUUUUUCCUGUUUUUGAUUUUUUUUAUAAUAAAUUUUCUUAGUUAGGCCUAGGAUUGUUCGACUCUUUGGUGACAAUAUAGUUGAAAUGUAAUAAUCUCGUUUGACGUUUGAUAUUUUUUAUAAUACAUGUUCCGAAUUGAUCAAGGGUUCAAGAUCGAUGUUCGAAGAGGCUCAAAUACAUCUUUAACCCAACGAUCCAUACUGAGUGAUGCUCUCAUCAAGAAUCCACAGACCCAACGAUCCAAUUGUCAAAAGCUUUGAAUUUCAUCAAACUUGUAAUGCUUCCGACCAUAAAUGUCAUAAAACGUUCGAAGUUACAAACUCGUCGUCCGUAACACACCUUCAACGGCUAUCUUCGAUAGUCAUAUAGACGACUGUAUAAAAGAGUUCUUAAACCACAACUCAAGGUGUACAUUAUCUAUCAUUUCAAUAUCCUCCAAGUCGCAUCUCGAUGGUUGCUGCUCCAUAAAGAUAAUCACUACUCGUGUUCAAUGUUUAAUACACAUUUUAUAUAUGUAUGGCUAGAGGAUAUUAAUAAAAGUUCUUCUCAUCCUUAUCGGUUUCAUAUGUCUCUUUUCACCUUAUUUCAACGGCCGGACCUAAAUAGGAAUGAUUAAAGGAUGUCAUACGAUAUGUAAGGAAAUAAGUAACCAGAAAUAGAAUGUGCAACAUAUAUAACAUUAUGAUUCAAUGUUACAAGAUAUUAUCCAAAAUUAAUAAAAUUCAGUGUUUCAAGACCUUUUCUCUUUCCAUUCUCUAUGCACCAACUCUCGUUCCUUCUCCCCUUUACGGCCCAGAGGACCAUAACCGACAUAUUUUUGCAUAGCAUACUGUCUGACCUAACCGAUAUACCUUUGGUCAAUUAAAACAUUUCACUCGUUAAUCUUUUAGUUGAAGCAAAAUAUUAAUUGUUGCACUCAGUUUCAAUGGAACAUGACACAUAUUGAAAUUAAGACUCACUAAUUUUUUUUAUCAAAUAGUUUUAAAAUGUGGAGUAGUGAAGUAUCCGAGAUUCGAACUCUGACCUCUGCAUAUAAUAUGUAAUAUCCUACCAACUGAGCUAAGUUCACCGUCCAUAUAUUUUCAAAUUAAUUUGAAGUCCUAAAUUAUAAUUAAACGCCUGUAUUAUAUAUGAUUGUCAACAAAUCAAAACUCAAUUGUUGGCUACUAAAUUAGAAACCCCAAUAAGUAACUCAAUUAAUCAUGGAUAGAUACAUUAGAUCCAGAUGGCUCCAACCUGCAAUAUUACUUCUUUUGGCUUUGCUUUCUAUCACAAAAGAAAAAGCCAGGUGCAUUAGGUACAUGCCAAUUUCAGAAAAAAGAUAUAAAAGUUUGACUUUUCCAAUUAGGAACAUUAUCACUCUAGCUCCAUACGACCAGGACCACAACACAUUGGGAAGAAAUUUAACAUUUGGAAUAUUAUGGGAGUGACACAUAGUUGAAAACAUGGCCUGAUUUAAUUACUCUAUUAAAUUGUGGUUAAGGAUUAAAGGUAAGUGUAUACCGUUGUUGAUUUUGGUUAAUGAUUCAUGGAAGAGAUUAGAUGAAGUGGCGUGACACCAUUCUUGGAUAAUUACAUUUUAUAAAGUUGUUUGGUUUUGCUUGUUCGGGUUGGUUUUGUGUAUAACUUAUCUUAAGCUAAUUGAUUCGGAAACUGACCCACAAGAUUAUGAUGUAAUUAACUUCUAGUUUAACAAUGUCAUAACACUUAAGAAGUUAUUUUUUAAAACAAAUUUUCUAAUGUGUGUAACAUCACCAUUAAUAGUUCAUUACUUUUUCGUUAUAAAUUAUUCACUUCCAAUAUGUUGGGAAGAAAAUUUAGAGAAACUUCUAAGGUACCGUUUGGCCAUGCUUUUUUUUGGUCUAAAAGCUACUUUAAAACAAAGUUAAAAUAAAACUCUUUAAGAAAAAGGCUAAAGCUGUUUGGUUUCUUUAUUUUUUUUUAGUUCUAAAGUUAUUUUUGAGUUAAAAGCUGUUUGGCAAAAUAUUGUACAAAACUUUGAAUUUAUUAUUUUUUGAUAGUGUCUGGGGUUCGAACCCGGGACCUUGCAUAUAUUUAUGCAUUGUCUAUAAAUAAAUAAAAAACUUUGUAUUCAUUAUGAAUUAACAUAAUAAAUAAAAAAAUGUCUAAAAUAUUUUUUGAAGGGAAAAAAUGUUUAAAAUAUAAAAGAUAUAUUUUUACCAAUACUAUAUUUACUCAAUGACGUUUAUUUUGUGUAACAUGAAUACAAAUUUGUACAAUAUCUUUUCCAAUUAUACUCUAUAACAAAAUUUUGUUAUAACAAAUUUUGUUAUAAGAAUACCAUAUUUUAAUUAGUGUUGGUCAAAAAGAUAAGAAUUUAUAUUUAUAUAAUAUUAUAUUUGUUACAUUGUUGGUGUCAUUGAAAAAUAUAUGUUUAGUUUUUUUAAUAAGAAAAAGAUAUGCAUAGUUUGUUACAAUACAAAUGUGUAAAUUAUAUAUAAGUAUAAUUAUUUUAGGCAACUACACUUGUACUUUUAAUUAAAAUCAAAAUUUUAUAAAAAUAAUUAUACGCAUUACACAACACUAACAAAAAUUAUACGCAUUAGCAUAACAAAAAAAAAACAGAAAGAGGAAUAUAAAGUAUUACUCUAAACGCUAACGCGUGUGUGUAUUUCCGUGGUUGAAGAAAGGGAAUAAAAAUAGUCGGUGUCAUUCAUUGACAGCGUGAAUACAAAUAUUUGUGAGGUUGUGAUGAUUAAAAGAUAUUGAAAUUAAUAUAUAAGUGAUAAAAAGAUAAUAAGAUUCUUUAAAAAAAUAGAUAAUAAACUUAAAUGGAACCUCAUUAAAAAAUUAAAUGGACCGGUUAAAAAAAAAAUAAAAAAUAAAAAAUAAAAUGGAAGAAAAAAGUAUAUUGAAAAAAUAAAACAAAAGGUUGCCGGCGGAAGUUGAAGAGAGGUGCUUGUGAAAUAAAUUGGGGAGAAAUACUUUUUUGAAGUAGCAUUCAACAACUUUUGGUUAAAGCUCAUUCCAUUCAAUUUUAUGCAUUCUAAAAAAAGUAAUUUUUUUCGAAGGUACUUUAUUGAUAUUGUGUUUGGCCUAGCUUCUCCUUAAAAACGUAGAAAAGCUGAAAAAAAGACAGGCCAAACGGUACCUAAGACUACUCAAGUUAGGAGAAAUCGACAAAUGUUUAUUGCGAAUUUUGGCAAAUAAAAUUAAUUUGGUAUAAAUUGAAUCCUUUAGUUCACUCGAAAAAAAAAAUACGUUUUUUAGACUUUUUUUUGGGUAAAAAACUCUUUUUUUUUUUUUUUUUAAUAAUGUGCAUUUUUUAAUCAACGAGAGAAUUAAAAUCUUUUGGUUUUAACGCGAUAUUUCAAGAUCAAUAAAGGUGCAAAGAGAUGACAUUGAUUAAAGAAAAUUACUCUAGACUACACACAAGGUGGAUUAUUUUGAAACACGUUUAAUUUAUUUAUUUUUCGGUAAGUGAAUCACAUGUGAGACCUACAUUACCCCUUGAUGAAUUGGAGGUAAUUUAUUCUAUAAUGAUAAAUAUGAUUCGAUUUUGAAACAAAAAAUAUGUAGAUCAUAUGUUGAAUAAAGGAGAUGAAAAAGUUUGAUUUUCUUAAAAUGAAUAUGAUAAUUGAUUGUCAGAAGAAGAAAAAAAUCAAAAUAGCGAGGCCUACAUUAUCAUUUGAUGAAUUAGAGGUAACUUACCCCUAAUAACAAACAUAUGUAGAAGUUUGAUGUCCUAGGAAUGAAAGUGGUAUUUAACUUUUAAAAAAAAAAGAUGAAAAAAGUAUGUUUUUCUUUGAUAGAGGUAAAUUACCUCCAAUUGGGUAAUGUAUAAAAAACCAUGUUUUAAAAUCACAUAAAAUAUUGUACUCUUUCCAUUCAUAAAUACAUCUGACAGUCAAUCAUUGCAUACAUGUCCAUACAUAACUUUGAUCAUUAAUAUUUUUAAUCAUUUAUAAUAAAAAAUUAUAAAAAUUUGAUAUUUUAAAAAUAACUAUUAAGAUAAAUCGAGCAACAUCUUACACGUUAUAUAUAUAUAUAUUAUUAUUUUUGUUAGGUAGUUUAGUGGCUAAAAUUCACAUUUUUCAAGGUGAAUAAAUGACGUGUUAAACGAAGGUUUGAGAGUGUUAAACGAGAUUAAGACUCAAAUGUCACGAUCAUAUUAACAAAAGUUGAAGAAAAUAAUAUUACAAUGUGCUCUCUAUAUAUUGAACAACUAACUAUCAAUCUCUUAAGUCUAAACAACUCUGACAAACAAACUAAUUCCUAGCUGAAUUAUAUUUUGUAACACCAUUCUUGUGAAAAUUUCUCCCACAACAUUUUAGUAACUUCACUCAAAAUUGACAUGAUAACUAUUAAGAUUCAAUAGCUUGUCGAAAAAACUUGACACUUGAUUAUCAUAUAAUCAAGAAAUACUCAAAUAUAAGUGAGCAUGUCUUUUCAAAUUCCACAUGGUUGCUAUAGAAUGAAUUGAUUAUCAUAUCUUGUCUAUUUUUGGCUCUUCUUUAGAAUGAAUUAAGUGUCAAUUACAAAUUUUUUUGUUGGUGGCGAUUAUUAAUGUCCUUGGUGCAAUUUGAUCGGUAGAAAUCAAUUGUCAUUGAACAAUAAAAGUACUUCUAUAUCCAUCAUCUUUUUUUAGUCGCGAUUUAAACCCUAAACCUUACAUAUAUUAUGCAUUUUUCGACCAAUUGAGUCAAGUUCACGAGGAUCGUAUAUCUAUCAUCUAAUCAAGAAAAAUAUAUCUUGAAUCCACAAACUGAUCAUAAACCUCCUUGUUCCACUUCUUUGAAUCACUUUUGAGGACUCUCGAUUUUUUUAUGAUAAAUUCCAUCCUUAGAAAAAAUCAUAUAAAACCUUAUGCCCCAUAAAAAAAAUAAAAAAUACUUAUUGCUUUGUAAUUAAGACUGCUCUUGAGUUUCCACACACAAACUUUCCACAAAAAGAGGAUGCUCUCAAUUGGUCAACGAAUAAAACUUCACCUUUGUAGACAUGAUUAACACCACCCAUGCAAGCCAUACUUUUGAGGAUAUGGCUACCAAUUAUUUUAUUUUACAAUGAGAAAAGAGGACAAUAAUAAUGUACUCCAAAAGUUUGGAUUAUUACAUUACUAGUUUCGUUAUUGCCAUCUGGACCACUCACUUGUGUCCAUCAUUUUUUUUUUGUUACAUUUGUGUCCAUCAUUUGAGUUAUUUGUAGUUUCCGUUUGAUAAUAAACCAAUAAGCGCAGUCAAGAAAAAUAUAUCCAUGUCCAUAUAUAUUUCAUGAAUCUCAUAAAUCUUUUAGCACAAUUAUUCAAUGUAUUCUACUUUUAUUACUACCUCCGUCCAUAAAUAUAUGAGUUUUUUGCAAAAAUUACGGAGAUUAAAAAAGUUGGUUGUAUUAUUAAUUUUGUAUAUAAUUACUAUUGUUUUUACAAUUUUAUCCUUAAGAGAGAGAAUUAAUUUAUGUUUUCAACAUAAUAUUUAUUGUUGAUUGAAGAAAAAGAUGCAAAAUAAAUAAGGGUAUGUUGGUAAAGAAAUAAUUAAUGUACUUGAAAAUACCAAAGGACUCUUAUAAAAAGGGACAAAAUUUUUCUCAAAAAAAUCUUAUAAUUAAGUAGUAUAAUUUUUCGUGAUUAUAGUCGUAACUUUUUUAACAGAUAUUGCUAAUAUAAGUCCUACAUAUAUAGUUAUGUAAUUUGAACCGAUAAUUUAUCAUUAAAAAAAACAACUCAUGUGUAAUUUUUUUUGUUAUAAUUUAUCAUUAAAAAAACAACUCAUGUGUAAUUUUUUUUUACAAUCCUCAUGUUGUCAAAAUGUGAGGCCCGAUAGUGGUAGCCAUUAGAUUACGAAUAAAGAUUGGUAGACAUCCUUAAUGUGUACAUUCAUUUACACCACUCUAAAGAAUUUAAGUUAACUAAAUAUAUGGUAUGUGUGACCAUAUUUUUCAAUUGUGUGACCACUAUUUUCCAGCAUUUAGAAGCUGAAAAAUAUGGUCAUGUAACUAAAAUGCACGUGACCACUAUUUUUCCACUUAAUUAACCUAAUAAAUAGUGGUCACGCAACUAAAAAUAUGUGGUCACACAGACCAUAUAUAUAGUUAACUUAAAUUUUUUAGAGUGAUACAAAAGGGUGUAUACAUUAAAGGUGUCUACAUAUCAUUGUUGUUAGAUUAUAUCCAAGACUCUAAUCAUUUUGUAUGUUUAAGGUAUAAUUGGAAGAGAUAAGUUGAAAAUUUAAAUAAAGGGAACAAAUUAAGUGCGUAGGGUAAAAAAAAAUUGCAGAAUAUCUUGAGAUUUAUUAAGGUAUUUUUAUGAUCGAUGAGAGUAAAUAUAAAUUUGAAGAGCAAAUGAAAAAGAACAUAUUUGAGUUUUUUUAUAAAAUUUAAUAAACUUAUUGUAAAAAUUAUUAAGAGAAAAGUGAUUUGGAUCAGUCCUAAUCAUAGUCCACCUAAUAUAAUAAGACAUGGGUGCUCUAGUCAAAGUGUCAAAGCCACACGCUCGAUUAUCCCAUGUCAUACCUUAAUCCACGACCAUGAUGACAAUGGCCACCAACAUUAAAAUAUAUAUACAUGUUCUGUUAAGAUUUAAGAAUGAGAUAUCUGGCAUAUGCUUAUGUUUUUCUACAAUCUUUCAACAAAAAUUGCACUACUAUUCCUAUGACUACAGCUGGGCCAAUAACAGCACAAAGAUUUUCAUUGAAAUUCCCAAAUUACCCUCAAUGAUACCGUCAAUCAUUCUACUUUGUGGCUUCACAUGAAACGUGUCGACAUCUAAUCUUAUCAUCUGAAGAACGAUGAUGUCACAGCCGCCAUUACGCAACGAUAAUAGACUCUGGACCAAGAUUUACCAUAAACGACAAAAGUGGAAGUUGCUGGUGACAAAAAUUACAUCAAUCACACCGUAAAAAAGGUAGUAAUGCUUGUGUAAGAUUAUAACCAAGGAUUGGCCAUGUAUAUUUCGGAUAGCACUUCGGUGAUAUUGGAAUGUUGAUGUCCAUUUAAUAUUAGUCAACCAUAAUAUAUUUAUGACUAACUAACUGUUACCCAUAUAUUGCUCAAGUGUCUUUUCCUAACAAAAAACUUGAACAGAAAAAGUUUUGUUUUCAAAUUUAACUUUUAAAACAAAAAACUCAAACUCACACACACCUACUCCUAAAUUUUCACUUAUUGUAUGUUUGGAAUCCCGGCUAAUUUGUCAUUCUCGCGUUACAAGGCAAUGUCACUGCUGAAAAAUAUUACCUCCGUUCCUUUUUAAUUGUCACAUUUUAACAUUUUACACAAAUUAAGACAAUCAACAAUUGAUACCACUUUUGAUGCAAUAAGCUAUACUUUUACUAUAAUGACCUUAUUCAUUUAAUAUCUCAUUUCAUAUAUUUCUCUCUCUGUAAUAAAUAACUAAGGACAAUAUUGGUAAACCAACAUUUAAUGUUGCAUUUAACUUUGAAAAUGACAGUUAAAUAGGAAUAAAAAAUUUCUCCAAAAGUGACACUUAAAAAGGAACGGAGGGAGUAAAAACUAUAAAGUGUGGCUUCUAACGAAACGCACGUCUACGGCAAAGUAAACGCUGGGACAUACAGACACUUGGUUCUUUAAUUCAAUCUGUUCAUAUAUGAACCAUUUAAACACUCAAUUAAAGAAAUCACAUUUGUGAAUGCUCAAACCUCAACCCAAUUCACUUAAGUGCUAGUUUGCUUCCACAUCAAAACAAUACCAAACAUACUUUUACUAAGAAGCUUGGAUUUUUAGCUUUAGAAAAUCACUGUAUAUUUGUGUUGGAACGUGUUUCCAAACACAUGCUAAAAAAAGCUUAAUCCUGAACAUAAUCUCAAUUAGAGUAGAAAAUUGGAUAAUUACCGUGCCCUACUGGGAUCAUUAAACAGUAGUCAAGUUGAAAAAUAUUUGUUUAUUAAAAUGUGAAGCUUAAAGUAUGAAACGUAAGUCUAAUUAUAUAAUUUUUGCAAAACUAAUCUAAAUAUCAUUUUCUCACCAUGGAUUGGGUUUGUCAUUCAUCAUCCGUUUUCACAUUGCUUCUAUCUCCUAACUCCUAUCUUCUUUAAAAUGGACCCCACUUUUGGACAAAAUCAUGGUUCUUGGAACUGAUCUAAAUUUUUUGUCAUUCAUACCCCCUAGCCCCCUUGGCCUAAUCUCUUCCCACGUGACGACAAAAAUUCCACAACCAUAAAAUCCCUUCCUUUCUUCCAAUCCCAAAAAUUUCAAUCCUCUCUCAUUAUUUUCAUUUUGUGUAUGCUUCACACCAAGUUUGGUUUUUGUCUCUCUCUCUCUCUCUUAGCACACACCCUCAACAUUUUUUUAAUACCACAUGGGAACCCCACAGACCAAUUUGCCACCAGGUUUUAGGUUCCACCCUACUGAUGCAGAACUCAUUCUUCACUACCUUAGGAAAAAAAUUGCCUCCAUUCCCUUGCCUGUUUCCAUCAUUGCUGAAGUUGAUAUUUAUAAGUUGGAUCCUUGGGAUUUACCAGGUUUGUAUUCUAUAAAUUUAUAAGUUGAUCCAAAAUAUACGUAUGUACUUUUUUAUAUUACUUUUUUUUAAUUUAAUAAUGUGUGAUGUGGAAGGUUAAUUUACUUUUGGUUUGUUGUGGUUUCUUUAUUUUCAGCUAAGGCUUCAUUUGGUGAGAAAGAAUGGUACUUUUUUAGUCCUAGAGAUAGAAAGUACCCAAACGGUGCAAGGCCAAACAGGGCAGCUGCUUCAGGGUAUUGGAAAGCCACUGGCACUGAUAAGACCAUAGUGGCAUCAUUGCCAUGUGGAGGAGGAAGAUCACAAGAGAACAUUAUUGGUGUCAAAAAGGCUCUUGUUUUUUACAAAGGAAAACCCCCAAAGGGUAUUAAGACUAAUUGGAUCAUGCAUGAAUAUCGUCUUGUUGACAACAAUAAACCUAUUAAGCUCAAAGAUUCUUCCAUGAGGGUGAGUUUAGAUUGCGGUCGCGUCGCAAUUAAAUGUGACUAAUGCAAUAUCAAUCAUAGUCUUGCCACAGUCGAACAACGGCAUAAAAAAAACAUAAACUCUGAUGUUGUUGUUUGAUUGUGGUCACGUACUUUUUUUAGAUGUAUCUUAGACUAAUGUUAUUCUUGGAAUUAUUGUAUUUGUGCAGUUGGAUGAUUGGGUGCUAUGCCGAAUUUACAAGAAAUCAAAAUGUGCACUAACUUCAACAGAAUCAUCAGAAACUAUGGUAGGUGAAGUGGAACAUGCAGAAGAGACACAAUUCCAAGAAACCCUAUUUCCAAUCACCAAAAACACAACCUCACCUCUUCAAAACACACUCAUGUCUCAAAAAUCAGUGUCCUUUUCAAACCUAUUAGAUGCUAUGGACUACUCCAUGUUAAGCAGCUUCUUAUCUGAAAAUUCCAACAACCCAUCAGGAAUUGGAACAAGUUCAGGUUUCAACACUGAAAAUUUUAACCAACAACAAUCUUCCCAUAUCAACACUUGCAACAAUUACAUGUCUCAGAAGAAUCCUCAAUCCAACACUUUAAAGCACCAGCUUUCAAACGUAGAUGAAGACAUGUUAUACCCAUCAAAGAAGUACUUGAGUUCCUCUUGCAAUUUUCCUAACAUCAAUUCUCAGUAUGAAAACUACCUUAUGAAGCAAUCUUUGAUGAAUCAACAAUUGCUUUUAGGUCCUCAUCAUCAAUAUCAAGGCUAAUCCAAAAUACCACAAAAAUUAAGUGGUACCAAAAAAAAAAAGAUUAUGAAAUAGAAAAGUUAAGUAAGAUUUCUAGAAGUUGGGCCCACCAAAUUACACCAAUGUCAUCAUUAAGUAAGGAUUGCUAAUUUAAUAGUAGUGCACAAAAUAUAGUGUGUUCUAUUUUGUCCAUUUUAAUUUUUUUUCUAGGAAUUGAAGGAGGGGUUAGGACCUAUUUGGUAUGGAGUCAAAAGAUUCCUUAGUUGAAGACUGAAUAAAUUGUGAAAAGAAAAUAUCAAAGUUUUAUGACCUAUCAGAAAUAGUAGUGUACAAAAUGUUAAUUUGUUUGUGUGUUGUUGGGGUUGGCAAGUUAGCUUUAUGAUAUAUAUUCUGUAGAUAAGUAUUGUACUGAUUGUGAUGAUAUUUUUCAUUCUUUUCAUGGAAAAAGAAGCUACAAAUUUUUCUUUUGGAUUGUAACUAUUCGCCAUUUCAGUAUGUUAAUCUUUAUUGUUUUUUGAUGUGGAUCCAACCAAGAAUUCACUGUACAAGAAUCUUUGACUUAGUAUAAAUUUCUUAAAUUAGAUAUAAAAUGAAGGAAAAUUUAAGAUGAUAAGAUUAAGAUUGAAUUGGGGAUCCGUCACAAGAAUAAAAUGUUAUUUGAUAAGCAACUAGAAUUGCUUCAUCUAAACACUUAAAAGGAGAAAAACUAUCUCUUACAUCAAUACACAGAUUGAAAAUAAAAUACUCAUGUAUUAACCAAAUGAAAAAUAAUACUAACAAAAUUGUUAUUUAUACAUACACAUAUGAGGCACCUAUAAAUCUCAAUAAUAAGCAAAAAAAAGGCUCAAUAAGGAAUUAGAAAAACAAUGAACAUUAUACAUCUUCAAAAUAAAACAAUUUAAAUUUUAAACUAAACAUUAAUACAAACAAACAAAGGAAUAUUAAAAGGAUAUUUGACUUCACGUUUAGUGUGGAUAAAGCAUGUUGUCCCAAUGUCCCUGCCAUUUUUGGCUGUUGUUAUUCACAUGCUUUGAACCAUUACAUACAAUAUUGAAGCAAUGUAAAUGGAACCUAUAAACAAAUUUACCAAUUGAAUUUUCAAUUAUAAAUUUAUACCAGCUUCGUACAAUUUUUUCACUAUUUUAUCUUAUCUUCCUAAUGCCAAGUCCAACUUAUUUGUGUUACAUUUACACUAGAGUGUAUAAUAGCCAAGUCCAACUUUGCUACAUAUCACUUACCUCGUGUGAAUGCACACACACCAAACAAAAAUACCAACUUGACACAAAAAAUAAGAUUAAUUCUUCUUUUUCUACCAAAAACAGUGUAUGCAUUCGCAAUAUUAAUCAGUUGUAUGGAUAUAUAACUAACAAGAUUUCAUCAUUUUUAUAUUAAUAUUGAUAUUUUAGCAAAUAAUGUUAUGGUAUAUAUAAAUAGUGAGAUGUGAUUUUAUACUCUACGUACAAUGAGCAUACUUUUGUGUGAUGUAUGGCUAGAAAAUAGUGGACACUUAUAUUAUUGAGAUUUCAAUAUUUAAUUACGAGCACGUACGAUGUUUAAUUUAUUUUAACUAGGAUAACAUCAUCCACUCGAUUUUGUACUUUGGCAUCAUUAUAAUGUUCCAUGAGGAUAAUCCUUAUCUCUAUAACUGCUUCUCACGUGUUCUUGAUUAAUUAUUCUUAGUUGUUAGUGUGGAUUUUGACUCUUUAUUAACAACAUUGAUCGAAUAAGGACUAAGAACACAAUGUUAUUGCUAGCAUGUGGUCACCAAACUCCAAUUAUUUAAUCUGCUUUAUCUCUUCAACAUCCUUAACGCAUGCAAACUUUGGUUAAUAAAGUAGCCUCCUAAAUCCAAAAAUAUGCAAUUAUUCUUAUUAUAUUGCACUUUCAAGAAAGAAAUUAAUAAACAAAAGACGAAAAGUUAAUUAGCACAUGAAACUUAAUAAUAAACGAAAAGUAAGAGGUCUUUACACAAUUCACACUCACACACAAAGUAGUUGCGAACGUAAUUAACAAACGUGUGUAACUUAGCAAUCAUGUGUGUAUGAGAAGACUAGUAGAUAAGGUGGUUAAAGACUUGAAGUGUCCUAUGCAUGGAGUGGCAGCUUCAUGUGGAGGGAUGGUUUAUAAAUUAUAUAUAAGUUGGUGAGCAAGUAUGAGACAUUUGUUAUGUACAUAACUAAUUCUUUUAAGUUUCUAUGUUCUUGUUGUGAGUUAGGGGAAUGAUGGUGUAUGUAAUUGGGGAUUUUGAUUAUACUUGGGUUUGGGAGGUGUGGGGAUCUGAUAUAUUUUGAUAUAUACAGUUAGAAUCAGAUGUGGAGUCAAAUUUUUAAUCUAAAGGUCUAUUAUUGUUUGCUAAAUUUACUCGCCAUAUCUUUUAUCACUUGAUUUCCACUCGAUUUUUUGUCAAGAAUAAAAGUAUGUGUAUUUUCCUCCUCACAACAAUUCUUGAUUUUUAUUUUUCCCUCUAUAAUGAAAAUUCGCAGCAAUCCAAUUUAAAGGGGUUUCUAUUCUACGAAAACCAUAAGUUAAUUAACAACUGUUCAAUCAUGGAUUCAGGGUUAAACACCUAAAAUUCAAUCGAUAGAAGCAAACUCAUCCAAUCCAAAAUACUCUAUGUUAACUGCCGUCAUCUACAAUUGGGGUCUUUAUCACAAAUUUUGCAUAAGUUCUUAAAUGUAUACGAAAAAUUAACCAAGAUGGAAAGGAGAUACAUACAAAAAUAAUAUCAAAGGGUGUGUGGGGAUAAUUAAUCUACAAAUUUUUCGGAAGAAAACGAGGAGUAUCAUGACUAAGGGUGUAAGCGGUUUGGAUAAAACCAAUGAAUUUGAAAGUUCAAGCUAAGAAAGUAUCCGAUCUUGUCUUGUUCGGUUCAAAACUGAAUCAAUCCAAUCUAAAUUGUACUUCUUUGGUUCGGUUCUCGAUUUUUUAUUUAAACUCCAAGGAACCGUUGGACCGAACCGAUGCUAACCUCACUCUCCAUUUUUGAAAUAUUAUCCCUCCUCACACACACACACACUUAUGAUUAGGCUCAAAAUUAAAGUCCAACAUAAACUACUCUUUAAUCCAUUCACCUACUUCAAUCAUCAUCUCAUCUCAUCACUCAAACUCUAUUUUAUUUCUUCUAAAAAAGAAACCCUAGUCAUUAACCACACCUAACCCAGCGUUUUUCACCACUGCAGUGAUCGUCCAUCUGUUGGUUGGUUUUAUCAUAUUUAUGUCUUCAAACUUUUCAAAAGAUAUUGUAUCGUGAAGCAAAUAGGUGCGCUGAUACGUUAGCUAAUAUUGGAUGUAUCAUGGGAAAUGAGAUGAUGUUUUAUGAGUCGUGUCCGACUCAAAUUAACUAUUUGUUAACUGCUGAUCAAGCGGGGGUUACUUUUCCGCGCUUGAUUAAGAUGUAAUUUCUUUUUCCGGGCUUCGGUCCUCCCAUUCAUAAAAAAAAAAGAUAUCUUUUCUAUGAUACCAUUGGUUUUUUUUUUUACAGAAUUAUAUACUCCCUCCGUUCCAUUUUAAUUGAGUCAUUGACUCAUUUCACACUUAUUAAGAAAAAAUGUAUAAGUGAAAGAGAGAGAAAAAUGGUUUUGAGUGCCCUUAUCAACUAUUGGUGCAUUCUUUUUUGUCAUAAAUGCAAAGUAGAAUAUAUUGAAUUGUGAGUGGUGAAAGUAUUAUUAAUUAGUGUUAUAAUUGAAAAAAAGUACUCCCUCCGUCCCUUAAUAAAUGACACAGUUGAUUCCAUUACGCAUUCUAAUGCAUAAUUUUGAGCUUAAAUAUCUUGAAUAAUAUGUUAGAAAAAAUUAUGAAAAUUUGAUAUUUUGAAAAUACUCAUCAAGACGAAUCUAAUGACAUCUUAUACUUAUCUAUGUAUAUUAGUAGAAAAAUAUGGUCAAAGUAAGCUAGGUCAAACUUGCAAAUUUUCAAAUAGGUCAUCUAUUGCGGGAGGGAGGGAGUAAUUAAUAUUGUAUUGGAAAGUGAAAUGAGUCAAUUUUUAUGGGACAAUAUUUUUUUUUGCAAAUGGUUCAGAUUAUAGGACAGAUGGAGUACCAUUGUUUAAUGAAGACUAGAAUUAAUGUGACGAAUGAUUAAGCUAGCAAAUCCUCCAAUGCUCGCUAUAUGAUAAUUUGCACCUUUUUCCUAUAAAUGUUUCGCUAUUCCAACGAUAGAUUAACAAAUUAGUUCUAAUCAAUCUCUUGAAUAAGAACUCUCUUCUAAAAUCUCAAUCCCUUAAUCUCUUAGGCAAAAUCGAAAUUGUUGGAGGUUUUAAUGAUUUAUUAAUCUCUGAAUCAUAGCUUAAAAAUUGUUUAUCUCUACCUUAAUUAGUUAAAUUAAUCAGAUUACCUAGGUUAGAUUCAAACCCUAGGGCUAGUAUCAUUCAAAUUCUAUGAUCAAUUCAUAAAUUCAAGAUGCUAGGGUUAGUAGUCACUAGUCAGUCAUAAACAUAUAAAAAGCAUUAAACUCAAGAUAAACAAAAUAAGACUAGAUCUUCAAUGAUAAUCAAGAGAGUUCAUGCAAAGUACAAGGCCAUAUAGCUUUCAAAAGAUUCAUCUUGACUUAAUCACAAGAAAUUUAGUUACUUAUAGCUAAAGUAUAAACAAGUAAUUCAAAACAAGGAUUCAUUACAUGGAUUGGAGGGGUGACUAUGAGUUUUGAUGGUCUUUCGCCUAUUCUCCAGCUUUCUAUUCCAAAAACGUCAUUUUCUCCUUCAAAUUUCAAACCCUUGUCUUAGAAACACGUUUGCCUUUUAUAGAUUUUAAUUUUUCCUCACAAAAUCAUGUCCCAAUGCUUCCUAAUCAUGCCCCGAGUAUUGUUGAAUGAAAAGGCUCUUUCUAGACUUGAAAACAUGGCCCGAUUUAGUGAAAUUGUGGCUCGAUUUGUAAUUUCUUGUUGCUCUUUGAUUUCUAUCAAUUUCAGCUCUAGAGACUCCAAUAUUACACUAAAAUCGACGAAAAAUACAUAAAGAUCAACUAAUUUUUUUAUGGUGGUUGAGGUUCGAACCUGGACCUUGCAUAUAUCUUGGAUAUAACAAAACCAAGAUGACAUAGUGUCAUGAAUCACCAUAAUAUGAAGAUCAAAGUGAUUAUUUUUGAUUUUAUUGAGACGUUUUAGGUCGACUGAAUAAUAUGAAGAUGAAAGUGAAUAAAAUAUGACAAAAACCUAAAGACAAUCCACGUGUUAAAGCAGAUAUGCGUAUCAUCGAUUAUUCAUACAGAUUCUACGCAGUAUUUGGCCCCACACCAUAUUCCUUGAUUUCAUCAUCAUCGAUUUGUUUACAUAAUAAAAUCAAAAUUAAGCUUAACAACUAAGUAUCCAUCUUCUUCUCCCGAAUCAGAAAAAUGGAGUUCCCCUUCAAUCACAACACCUCCAACGUAACCCACACUCAUCACCACCGUCGUGACGACGACAACAACGAACAACAUUAUCCACCACCUGGUCACAACAAUUUAUCUUCCUUCAACCAACCACCACCACCACCACAUCAUCAACAACCACCUUUCUACCCUAACCCAUCAUACCCACCACCACCACAACAACAACCACAUCAACCCGAAACUCAAGUCUUCCACACCGGGCACGUGUCCCGUAAUGACAAUUUCAACAAUUACCCUCAACAACCACAACCUCACCAAGAAACUCAAGUGUUCCACACUGGACACGUGUCCCAUGAAAACUUCAACAGUUACCCUCAACCACCACCACCUCAAUCUCAUCAUCAACAACCCAGCUACGGCGCUGCGUACCCACCUGCACCACCAUCCGUACCGGAUCACACCUCCGCCCCAUUCCCAAACGCAACUGUUCACCAUGUUUCUCAUGAAACCCAUAACCCUCAUUUUCCUUCUUCCAACG